CAAGCUCCUUUGGAAACCUCAAAAUUUGUCACCACAUAAUUGUCCUCCAAUCCACAACAAAGAAGCAAAUAUAUAGAUCGAUAUACACCAAAACCAAAUACACGAACCCCCUAUAUGUAUAACAAAGAAGCACCUUCAUUUCUGCAUUCUAUCCAGGCCUCCAUACAGGAAUUCUCAAAACAGCAAAAUCGUAGAGAGAGAGAGAGAGAGAGAGAGAGAAUGGGUGACAAAAAAGUAACUGCGAUGCUGCUGGCUGUGGCUCUCAUGGUGUUGGCUUUCGGGGGAACGACGAUAACAACCGAAGCCUAUUCUGAUUGCGUUAACAAUUGUAUGCCCACUUGUUUGCAACAAGUGAAGAUCAGUGCAAGCACUCACGCAUGCGAGCUUGCUUGCCAACAAUUCUGUGAUACUCAAGGCUAAGAAUGAGAUAAUUUAGCGAUCGAUCGAGGCAAUAGCAAAAAUUGGUGAUGGCCUCGUCAAGAAAUAAAGCAAGAGACUGGAUGGGAGAUCAAGUAGGAGUACUAUCAGUGGCCUCAUUUUCGAGGCUUUGAUUCAUAUAAUCAAAACUUUUGGAUUUUUUUUUUGUAGUUAAUAUUAUGUAAUCAGAUAAUAAUUCCACCAAAGUUGGUGGAGAUCCCCUGAUAUUCUCUAAUUAUCAAAUUUUCUUAUAAUAUUCUUCUUUUAUCUUUUU